rnacentral:rRNA from 1 species
AUAACACUUGGAAACAGGUGCUAAAUACCCGUAUAACAAUCGAAACCGCAUGGGUUUUUGAUUUGAAACGGCGCUUUCGGGUGUCGCUGAUGGAUGGACCCGCGGUGCAUUAGCUAGUUGGUGAGGUAACGGCUCACCAAGGCCACGAUGCAUAGCCGACCUGAGAGGGUGAUCGGCCACAUUGGGACUGAGACACGGCCCAAACUCCUACGGGAGGCAGCAGUAGGGAAUUUUCGGCAAUGGACGAAGGUCUGACCGAGCAAUGCCGCGUGAACGAUGAAGGUCUUCGGAUUGUAAAGUUCUGUUGUUAGGGAAGAAUAGAGUAAUUAGGAAAUGAGUUACUUUUGACGGUACCUAACUAGAAAGCCCCGGCUAACUAUGUGCCAGCCGCCGC